rnacentral:rRNA from 1 species
UGAUUUUAAACAGCCGCGGUAAUUUGACCGUGCAAAGGUAGCAUAAUCAUUUGCCUUAUAAUUGGGGGCUGGCAUGAAAGAAUAAACAAGAGUUUGACUUUAUUUUUGAGAGAAUGAUAAUUUUCUUUUUUAGUGAAGAAGCUAAAAUAUGAAAGGGGACAAGAAGACCCUUUUGAGCUUUACUAAUUUUCUUUUUGUGUUUUGUUUGUUUGGUUGGGGCGACCGAGGAAAACCUUCCUUUAUUAUAUUGAUCCGCAGUUUGUGAUUAAAAGAGUAAGUUACCAUAGGGAUAACAGCGUAAUCUUUUUUGAGAGUUCUUAUUAAAAAAAUGGAUUGCGACCUCGAUGU